AUACGGAGGGAGCUAGCGUUGUUCGGAAUUACUGGGCGUAAAGCGUACGUAGGCGGAUUGACAAGUUGGGGGUGAAAUCCCAGGGCUUAACCCUGGAACUGCCCUCAAAACUAUCGAUCUAGAGACCGGGAGAGGUAAGCGGAAUUCCUAGUGUAGAGGUGAAAUUCGUAGAUAUUAGGAAGAACACCAGUGGCGAAGGCGGCUUACUGGACCGGUACUGACGCUAAGGUACGAAAGCGUGGGGAGCAAACAGCAUUAGAAACCCCGGUAGUCC
rnacentral:rRNA from 1 species